GACGAACGCUGGCGGCGUGCCUAAUACAUGCAAGUUGAGCGCUGAAGGUUGGUACUUGUACCAACUGGAUGAGCAGCGAACGGGUGAGUAACGCGUGGGGAAUCUGCCUUUGAGCGGGGGACAACAUUUGGAAACGAAUGCUAAUACCGCAUAAAAACUUUAAACACAAGUUUUAAGUUUGAAAGAUGCAAUUGCAUCACUCAAAGAUGAUCCCGCGUUGUAUUAGCUAGUUGGUGAGGUAAAGGCUCACCAAGGCGAUGAUACAUAGCCGACCUGAGAGGGUGAACGGCCACAUUGGGACUGAGACACGGCCCAAACUCCUACGGGAGGCAGCAGUAGGGAAUCUUCGGCAAUGGACGAAAGUCUGACCGAGCAACGCCGCGUGAGUGAAGAAGGUUUUCGGAUCGUAAAACCCUGUUGGUAGAGAAGAACGUUGGUGAGAGUGGAAAGCUCAUCAAGUGACGGUAACUACCCAGAAAGGGACGGCUAACUACGUG
rnacentral:rRNA from 1 species